GAGCAAUGAGGAGAACAGCGCUAACUGUGAUAACGGGGUGCAUCACAACCGUCUGAUUAUCAGAUGACCUCAGCUUUCUUGAGCUC